rnacentral:rRNA from 1 species
AGUGAACGCUGGCGGUAGGCCUAACACAUGCAAGUCGAACGGCAGCACAGUAAGAGCUUGCUCUUACGGGUGGCGAGUGGCGGACGGGUGAGGAAUACAUCGGAAUCUACUUUUUCGUGGGGGAUAACGUAGGGAAACUUACGCUAAUACCGCAUACGACCUACGGGUGAAAGCAGGGGAUCUUCCGACCUUGCGCGAUUGAAUGAGCCGAUGUCGGAUUAGCUAGUUGGCGGGGUAAAGGCCCACCAAGGCGACGAUCCGUAGCUGGUCUGAGAGGAUGAUCAGCCACACUGGAACUGAGACACGGUCCAGACUCCUACGGGAGGCAGCAGUGGGGAAUAUUGGACAAUGGGCGCAAGCCUGAUCCAGCCAUACCGCGUGGGUGAAGAAGGCCUUCGGGUUGUAAAGCCCUUUUGUUGGGAAAGAAAAGCAGCAGGUUAAUACCCCGCUGUUCUGACGGUACCCAAAGAAUAAGCACCGGCUAACUUCGUG